AAAUAGCAAAACUUGGACCUUGAAGACAGGCGAUUGCUAUGACUAAUUUGUGGCCAGGUGGUGUGACCUUGGGUAUGUUACCUAACCUCGCUGAGCCGCAUGGUGCUGGUGAGGAUUCGGUGAGAUGACAACUGGUCAGGUCCUGGCAGGACUCCUGGCACAUCCCUGACUCUCAAUCAACAGGAGCUUUUGAUAUGGUUAGGAAGCAGGUAAGCCUCACCUUGAACAAAUCCAACUGAUGACGUUUGCUUUUAUGCAGACAUAGCAGUUCCCCCGACCUUUGUGCUGCUGUGGGAGGACAAUGUGUGAUGGAGAAGGGCCUGCUGCAGGUUUCUCUGGGUAUAGUCAGGCAGGACCAGGCGUACAUCCUGCUCUGCCCCCAGAAGCUGUGAUUCAAGAGAGGGGCUUGGUGUCUCUGGGCCUCAUCUUGCCCAACUGCAAAAUGGGAGCAAUGGCACCUCCCUUUGCAGGCUGCUGUGCCCCUCAGUGAGAUAACUUCGGGGUGCAGAGCCUGGUGAGCGCAGGCCUUACAGAAGUCCAUCUUCCUCACCAACUAAGGACCCAGUUCCGGAGAAAGUGCUUGCCUGUGGUUGUGAGGUCGUCAUUUCUCAGGAGGACCUGAACGUCCGUGGUAAACACGUCCCAUAACCAGCUCGAACAACCCCCCUUGUUGGACACUGUUUGA
rnacentral:lncRNA from 1 species